GACGGAGGAUGCAAGUGUUAUCCGGAAUCACUGGGCGUAAAGCGUCUGUAGGUCGUUUAAAAAGUCUACUGUUAAAAAUUGAAGCUUAACUUCAAAGGUGCCGUAGAAACUUUUAAACUUGAGUAUGGUAGGGGUAGAGGGAAUUUCCAGUGGAGCGGUGAAAUGCGUAGAUAUUGGAAAGACCACCAAUGGCGAAGGCACUCUACUGGGCCAUUACUGACACUGAGAGACGAAAGCUAGGGGAGCAAAUGGG
rnacentral:rRNA from 1 species